UACGUAGGGACCGAGCGUUGUCCGGAAUCAUUGGGCGUAAAGAGCGUGUAGGCGGCCACUUAAGUCCUGCGUGAAAUCUUGCGGCUCACCGCAGCAGGUCGUGGGAAACUGGGUGGCUAGAGUGCGGGAGAGGAGAGUGGAAUUCCUGGUGUAGCGGUGGAAUGCGCAGAUAUCAGGAAGAACACCCGUGGCGAAGGCGGCUCUCUGGAACGCAACUGACGCUGAGACGCGAAAAGCGUGGGGGAGCGAACAGG
rnacentral:rRNA from 1 species